AACGAACGCUGGCGGCAGGCUUAACACAUGCAAGUCGAGCGCAUCCUUCGGGGUGAGCGGCGGACGGGUGAGUAACGCGUGGGAACGUGCCCUCUUCUACGGAAUAGCCUCGGGAAACUGAGAGUAAUGCCGUAUACGCCCGCAAGGGGAAAGAUUUAUCGGAGGAGGAUCGGCCCGCGUUGGAUUAGGUAGUUGGUGGGGUAACGGCCUACCAAGCCGACGAUCCAUAGCUGGUUUGAGAGGAAGAUCAGCCACACUGGGACUGAGACACGGCCCAGACUCCUACGGGAAGCAGGAGUGGGGAAUCUUGGACAAUGGGGGCAACCCUGAUCCAGCCAUGCCGCGUGAUCGAUGAAGGCCUUAGGGUAGUAAAGAUCUUUAAGCUGGGAAGAUAAUGACGGUACCAGCAGAAGAAGCCCCGGCUAACUCCGUG
rnacentral:rRNA from 1 species